rnacentral:rRNA from 1 species
UUAGAGUUUGAUCCUGGCUCAGAACGAACGCUGGCGGCGUGCCUAACACAUGCAAGUCGAACGUGAUCCAGAGCUUGCUCUGGUGAAAGUGGCGCACGGGUGAGUAACGCGUGGAUAACCUACCCUGGUAUCCGGGAUAACAUUCCGAAAGGGGUGCUAAUACCGGAUAAGCCCACGGGCUCUUUGGAGCUUGCGGGAAAAGGUGGCCUCUAUUUAUAAGCUACUGUAUCAGGAUGGGUCCGCGUACCAUUAGCUAGUUGGCGGUGUAACGGACCACCAAGGCGACGAUGGUUAGCUGGUCUGAGAGGAUGAUCAGCCACACUGGAACUGAGACACGGUCCAGACUCCUACGGGAGGCAGCAGUGGGGAAUUUUGCGCAAUGGGGGAAACCCUGACGCAGCAACGCCGCGUGAGUGAUGAAGGCCUUUGGGUCGUAAAGCUCUGUCAGAGGGGAAGAAAUGAUAUAGUGCUAAUACCACUUUAUCUUGACGGUACCCUCAAAGGAAGCACCGGCUAGCUCCGUGCCAGCAGCCGCGGUAAUAC